GACGAACGCUGGCGGCGUGCUUAACACAUGCAAGUCGAGCGGUAAGGCCCUUUCGGGGGUACACGAGCGGCGAACGGGUGAGUAACACGUGGGUGACCUGCCCUCAGCUCUGGGAUAAGCCUGGGAAACCGGGUCUAAUACUGGAUAUGACUCCAUGACGCAUGUUGUGGGGUGGAAAGCCUUGUGCGGCUGAGGAUGGGCCCGCGGCCUAUCAGCUUGUUGGUGGGGUGAGGCCUACCAAGGCGACGACGGGUAGCCGGCCUGAGAGGGCGACCGGCCACACUGGGACUGAGACACGGCCCAGACUCCUACGGGAGGCAGCAGUGGGGAAUCUUGCGCAAUGGGCGAAAGCCUGACGCAGCGACGCCGUGUGAGGGAUGACGGCCU
rnacentral:rRNA from 1 species